rnacentral:rRNA from 1 species
CCGGCGAUGUUUCAUUCAAAUUUCUGCCCUAUCAACUUUCGACGGUAGGGUAGUGGCCUACCGUGGUGGUAACGGGUGACGGAGGAUUAGGGUUCGAUUCCGGAGAGGGAGCCUGAGAAACGGCUACCACAUCCAAGGAAGGCAGCAGGCGCGCAAAUUACCCAAAUCCCAACUCGGGGAGGUAGUGACAAGAAAUAACGAUGCUCCGGCCAUCGGUCGGGUAAUCGGAAUGAGAACAAUUUAAAUCCCUUAUCGAGGAUCAAUUGGAGGGCAAGUCUGGUGCCAGCAGCCGCGGUAAUUCCAGCUCCAAUAGCGUAUAUUUAAGUUGCUGCGGUUAAAAAGCUCGUAGUCGGAUUUCGGGUGGCGCCUACCGGUCCGCCUUUGGUGAGUACUGGUAGGUACCACCUUUCUGCCGAGGACGGGGUACUGGGCUUAGUUGUCUGGGCCUCGGAGUCGGCGAUGUCACUUUGAGUAAAUUAGGGUGUUCAAAGCAGGCUUAUGCUCUGUAUACACUAGCAUGGGAUGACACGAUAGGACUUCGGUUUAUCUUGUCGGUCUGUAGAUCGGAGUAAUGAUUAAGAGGGACAGUCGGGGGCAUUCGUAUUUCGUAGUCAGAGGUGAAAUUCUUGGAUUUACGGAAGACGAACUUCUGCGAAAGCAUUUGCCAAGGAUGUUUUCAUUGAUCAAGAACGAAAGUCGGGGGCUCGAAGACGAUUAGAUACCGUCGUAGUCUCGACCAUAAACGAUGCCGAC